UACAAAAUCGCACUGUAACCUUUGUUCGGGGCCAUUCUCUGCUUACCAUCAUGCCUCACCUCAAUUAGGCUUUGGUGUUCUUCUCAACAUCCACCUACAACAUUUGGAGGUUCCACCGAGAUUGACCAACCGAAAUUUGGAGCCUGAAGCAGAACAGCUAGGGGAGAGCUCCCGAGAAACAAUCCUUGGCCCCAGCCUUCUGUCCUCAGUUUCUUACUAGGACGAAGGAGUUUCCUGAAGCACACUGCAAACCUUUCCGCACAGGCAUGUGGGACCAGAGACCACGGAACGAAGUCAGCACAACAGGGCUCAGUCCGGCAAGCCUGGGGGUCCUGACCCAGAGAACCAGACAGACGGACUUAACAUAGGCUUUUCUCGGCACAAAAACGCGGACAACUUGCAGAGUCUGCACUUCAGCGGGCCAGAUGAUUCUCUCCCUAGGCCUCUGCGUCAGGGACACAGCGAGAGCCCGCCCCUCCCCCUCCCGGAGGGCUGGAGCCGCUGCCUUACCUGCUGCAGGGGGCCAGCAGCGCUCGCCCCAGGGUGGACCUUCCGAUGCUGGACGAGGUUGCAGUGAUAAAUGAAGUUCUUGCCACAGUC